UGGACUUUAUUUGCGCAGUAUAGGUGGGAGGCGUUGAAAUUAUUCUUGCGGGAAUAACGGAGCCAUCAGUGAGAUACCACUCUUGUAAUGUUAGAUUUCUAACUUUGUAUCCUUAUCGGGUCAAAGAACAGUCUCAGGCGGGCAGUUUGACUGGGGCGGUCGCCUCCUAAACGGUAACGGAGGCGCACAAAGGUUUCCUCUGAACGGGUAGAAAUCGUAUCUAGAGUGUAAAGGCAUAAGGAAGCUUGACUGUGAGACCUACAAGUCGAGCAGGGACGAAAGUCGGUCUUAGUGAUCUGACGGUGCUGAGUGGAAAGGCCGUCACUCAACGGAUAAAAGUUACUCUAGG
rnacentral:rRNA from 1 species